AACGUAGGUCACAAGCGUUGUCCGGAAUUACUGGGUGUAAAGGGAGCGCAGGCGGGAAGACAAGUUGGAAGUGAAAUCUAUGGGCUCAACCCAUAAACUGCUUUCAAAACUGUUUUUCUUGAGUAGUGCAGAGGUAGGAGGAAUUCCCGGUGUAGCGGUGGAAUGCGUAGAUAUCGGGAGGAACACCAGUGGCGAAGGCGGCCUACUGGGCACCAACUGACGCUGAGGCUCGAAAGUGUGGGUAGCAAACAGG
rnacentral:rRNA from 1 species